rnacentral:rRNA from 1 species
GACGAACCGUGCGAACGUUGUUCGGAAUCACUGGGCUUAAAGGGCGCGUAGGCGGGCUGUCAAGUCCGGGGUGAAAGCCCUCCGCUCAACGGAGGAAUGGCCUUGGAUACUGGUGGUCUUGAGGAAGGUAGGGGCGUGCGGAACUCUCGGUGGAGCGGUGAAAUGCGUAGAUAUCGGGAGGAACGGCCGGUGGCGAAAGCGGCACGCCUGGACCUUUUCUGACGCUGAUGCGCGAAAGCCAGGGGAGCAAACGGG